UGCUUUUCUGCUUCUGCCCAAACUGAGGUUGUGCAGACUAUCCAGAAUUUAACACGGCUCUUAUACAGCAUUCAGGCAGCCUUGACUAUCCAGGACAC